AACGAACGCUGGCGGCAGGCUUAACACAUGCAAGUCGAGCGCCCCGCAAGGGGAGCGGCAGACGGGUGAGUAACGCGUGGGAACGUACCUUUUGGUUCGGAACAACUCCGGGAAACUGGAGCUAAUACCGGAUAAGCCCUAACGGGGAAAGAUUUAUCGCCGAAAGAUCGGCCCGCGUCUGAUUAGCUAGUUGGUGAGGUAACGGCUCACCAAGGCGACGAUCAGUAGCUGGUCUGAGAGGAUGAUCAGCCACACUGGGACUGAGACACGGCCCAGACCCCGGGGGGGGGCGGCAGGGGGGAAUAUUGGACAAGGGGCGCAAGCCUGAUCCGGCCAUGCCGGGGGAGUGAUGAAGGCCUUAGGGUUGAAAAGCUCUUUUGCCCGGGAAGAUAAUGCCUGUCCCGGAAAAAAAAGCCCCGGCUAACUUCGU
rnacentral:rRNA from 1 species